rnacentral:lncRNA from 1 species
AACAGCAGGGACCCGGGGCCCGGGACUGGUCCCUAACGAGCGAGCGUCCAGGUGAGCGGAAGGGCGGGGAACCCAGGUGUGAGCUCUGUUUCCCGAGGCCGGAGGGAAUUCCUGAGGCGGACGCCCUCAGCUUUGAGAGCCAGGGAAGACUUGUCCCAGAUGUGAAGUGCAGGAGGCGGGUGAGACAGUUUUCAAAUUUGCUGGGUACGGUGUACCGGCGUGGGAACCUAAAUUUUACCUGCGAUGGAAAUUCAGUUAUCAGUCCCGUGGGCAAUAGAGUCACUGUAUUUGACCUUAAAAACAACAAAUCUGACACGCUGCCCCUGGCCACUCGGUACAACGUCAAGUGCGUGGGGCUGUCCCCGGAUGGCCGCCUCGCUAUCAUCGUCGAUGAAGGGGGCGAUGCGCUGCUGGUCAGCCUGGUCUGCAGGUCUGUGCUGCACCACUUCCACUUCAAGGGCUCUGUGCACAGUGUGUCCUUCUCCCCUGAUGGCAGGAAGUUUGUUGUCACAAAGGGUAACAUUGCCCAGAUGUAUCAU